CUGCGUGUUACAUCCAGAUUGCUUUAAAACUGUGCAGAGUGGAACAAGAGCAUUAAAAACAAUAGGCUUUGGUUUCUUGCUGCUGCUUUUCACUCUUGAAGUGGAUAUAUACUUCCCGGAUGUUGACCCAGGCUCUACCAAAUUACUGAUCGGACUGCCGCGAAAAAGGCCAAGCCGAGACGGGACUCCAGAGAUGGAAUACACAAAGUGGCGAUCGAGCAGCCUGCAGCGAAACUUCAAGCAGCGAAUACACGAAAUAGCGAAGCGCUCCGGCUCCGGCAGGCCCCAAAUGCACCAAGACAAGAAGCGGGCGGCGCAGCAGGAGCCGAGAGGGGAGAGGAAGGCUCAGAACCAAGCGGAGCUCCCGGGAAAGCGGUGCCAGGGGUGGGGAGCGAGCAUGGAGCGAAGGCUGCAGCGCGGCCCCUGAGGCGGGGAGGCGGCGGAGGAUCCGCGCCGCGGGGCGCACCCGUGAGGAGACGCGGCCGCGGGCAGCGUCCGGACGGGGAGUUUAAAAAAGGAGUAAAAUACGGGAAAUCUUAGAUCACGGAUUGCAGCCGGCGAAAAGGCGAUCGUAUGAUCGUGUGUGUUCACUUGUCGUGUGUGGACACUUAUACUGCGCAAAUGGGAUAAAACAGGAUAAAAGGAAAUCGCGAACUUUACUGCUACGGCGUGGAAAACAACGUGACAGUAGAUGGACAAAAUACUUUUACUAUCGAAAGGUGGGACGAGUUGGGGCAGUUUUUGUGGGCAACGGCCAUAGGGGAAGCUACGGUAGCCACAAAAUCGUUACCUACGUGGUAUUUUAUUAGAAAUUCGUUUAAAAAAUUACAAUUGCUGAGGGACCGCAGCUGGUGGGGCAACCGCCCCCCGCGGGCUCCAGAGACCUCUCGGUCAGCACCUCCUGUGUCUGCGGGUCCGUUUCUGUUCCCUCUGUCCACGAAUGAUGGAAAAGUUACAUUUUAAUCCCGUUUUUCACGCUGAAAAGACUAUUAAAAAAAUGCUAUAUCCACUUUGAGACUGCUGUCAGUCUAAGCCAUGUGAAGGCGCCGGCCGCAGGGGCACCCGGACCAAAAGGAGCGGGAGCUGUGUGCGUGCGCUCUGUAAAAUGGCUCCGGCGGCACACGUUGUCCCCGGCGGGGCGGGGGGCCGCUCCCGCUCCCCGGGAAGCCGCGGCGGCUCCGCUCGGGUGAGUUUUAUCCUCCAGGAACCCCCGAGCCCCCGGCUCCGCUCGGUUCGCAGCUCCGUGGGGAACGCGCGAGCUCUGCGGCCGGCCGGAACCGGAGCGCAUUGCCUGCUCCCGGCUCCUCCCCACAGCUGAGGGCUCCAAUGCGGGCCCCUCAUUCCCUCCCGGGCUGCGCGCGGCAUUUCCAACAGCCCCGGCGGCCCUGCCCCGCGGAGCUCCGGGGCGGCAUGUGGGAGCCACAAGCGCUUUGUGCCUUUUGAUCUUUUUUCUGUAUUUGUUUUCGCUGUUUUCCCUCCUUUUGCUACGUGCGGUGUUUAGAGGGUUUUGUGUUCCUUUCCCCUCCGCUUUUCCCCCGCGGUGUUCGGGGCCGGAGGGGAUGCGGCAGCCCCGGGAGGGCUCCAGAGGGGCUGCCCGCCGCCCGGGCAGUGCGGAGCUAAGGAUCGAACUCCUGCGGCUGCGGGCACAGCACAGCGGCGUUUGCUUUUCCCUUUGCCCGCAGCAGCUGCGAGGGGCAGCGGCCGGAGCUCUCCUCUUUCCCUCCAUCGCCCCCGUCUUUUCCCCUGCGGGCAGCACAGCCCCACCACUCCAGCGCCGAGCGGUUUCUGACUCCCUGUUUAAUGAAUUUUACGGUUGCUGGAGGGAUAGAAAGCAGUGAAUGCAGUGCUUUAUUACCUAUCAAAGAUUUCAACGUAGUCUGAUUUAUUUUUAACAAGAACGUUAACAAAUUUGCCAGAAGAAAUUACACAAAAUACAAUUGCGAG